CAUAUGCUUGUCUCAAAGAUUAAGCCAUGCAUGUGUAAGUAUAAAUAGUAUACAGUGAAACUGCGAAUGGCUCAUUAAAACAGUUAUGGUUUAUUUGAUAAUUGAAAGCUACAUGGAUAACCGUAGUAAUUCUAGAGCUAAUACAUGCUGUAAGGCCUGACUUCACGGAAUUGUAUUUAUUAGAUCCCAACCAAUACUCUUUCGGGAGGAUUGUGAUGAUUCAUAAUAACUGGUCGUAUGAAGGCUUGGCCUUGAUAGAUCAUUCAAGUUUCUGCCCUAUCAGCUUUCGAUGGUAGUGUAUUGGACUACCAUGGCAGUCACGGGUAACGGGGAAUUAGGGUUCGAUUCCGGAGAGGGAGCCUGAGAAACGGCUACCACAUCUAAGGAAGGCAGCAGGCGCGUAAAUUACCCAAUCCUGACUCAGGGAGGUAGUGACAAGAAAUAAUAACUCGUGGAACUUUUAGUUCUUUCGAGAUUAGAAUGAGAACAAUUUAAAAUCCUUAUCGAGGAACAAUUGGAGGGCAAGUCUGGUGCCAGCAGCCGCGGUAAUUCCAGCUCCAAUAGCGUAUAUUAAAGUUGUUGCAGUUAAAAAGCUCGUAGUUGAACUUCUGACUGUCAGAAGACCGGAUUUAUCUGGAAAUUUGGCAGUCAUCCGUCAGAGAACUUCAGUCGUCCUUUACUGGUCGCUGGAGGUAUUUGGCAUUUUACUUUGAAAAAAUCAGAGUGUUCAAGGCAGGCAACGUCCUGAAUACACAAGCAGCAUGGAAUAAUGGAAUAGGACUAUGGUCCUCUUAUUGGUUAUUGGACCUUAGUAAUGAUUAAUAGGGACAGUUGGGGGCAUUAGUAUUUAAUUGUCAGAGGUGAAAUUCUUGGAUUUAUUAAAGACUAACUUAUGCGAAAGCAUUUGCCAAGGAUGUUUUCAUUAAUCAAGAACGAAAGUUAGGGGAUCAAAGACGAUCAGAUACCGUCCUAGUCUUAACUAUAAACUAUUCCAACUCGGUUUUGGCAUGACACAUAUAAUCAUGUCAGCGCCGUAUGAGAAAUCAAAGUAUUGGUUCCGGGGGGAGUAUGGUUGCAAAACUGAAACUUAAAGGAAUUGACGGAAGGGCACACAAGGUGUGGAGCCUGCGGCUUAAUUUGACGCAACACGGGGAAACUUACCAGGUUAAAACAUUGGUGGGAUUGACAGAUUGAGAGCGCUUUCUUGAUUGGUUGGGUGGUGGUGCAUGGCCGUUCUUAGUUGGUGGAGUGAUUUGUCUGCUUAAUUCCGUUAACGAAACGAGACCAUUACCUGCUUAUUAGACAUCAAUCUUAAUCUGAUGCUCUUCUUAGAGGGACUUUGGAAUUUCAAUUCCAAGGAAGUUGGUGGCAAUAACAGGUCUGUGAUGCCCCUAGACAUCCUGGGCCGCACGCGUUCUACAAUGAUGCAUUCAGAAAGUUUUCCUGAUCUGAAAAGAUUCGGGUAAUCUUGAGAAUAUGCAUCGUGAUAGGGAUAGAUCUUUGCAAUUAUAGAUCUUGAACGAGGAAUACCUUGUAAGUGCAAGUCAUCAGCUUGUACUGAAUCGGUCCCUGCCUUUUGUACACACCGCCCGUCGCUUCUACUGACGAAUGCUCCGGUGAACCUUCUGGACUGUGCGAGACUUGAUCCCGCCGGGAAGUUAUGUAAACCAAUGCAUUUGGAAGAAGAAGAAGUCGUAACAAGGUAUCU
rnacentral:rRNA from 1 species